rnacentral:rRNA from 1 species
GACGAACGCUGGCGGCGUGCCUAACAUAUGCAAGUCGAGCGAGGAACUUCGGUUCCUAGCGGCGGACGGGUGAGUAACACGUGGGUAACCUGCCUCAAAGAGGGGGAUAGCCUCCCGAAAGGGAGAUUAAUACCGCAUAAUAUUAAAUUACUGCAUGGUAGUUUAAUUAAAGGAGUAAUCCGCUUUGAGAUGGACCCGCGGCGCAUUAGCUAGUUGGUGAGGUAACGGCUCACCAAGGCCACGAUGCGUAGCCGACCUGAGAGGGUGAUCGGCCACAUUGGAACUGAGACACGGUCCAGACUCCUACGGGAGGCAGCAGUGGGGAAUAUUGCACAAUGGGCGAAAGCCUGAUGCAGCAACGCCGCGUGAGUGAUGAAGGCCUUCGGGUUGUAAAGCUCUGUCUUUGGGGACGAUUAUGACGGUACCCAAGGAGGAAGGCCCGGCUAACUACGUGCCAGCAGCCGCAGUAAAAC